UACGUAGGUAGCAAGCGUUGUCCGGAAUGACUGGGCGUAAAGGGUGCGUAGGUGGCAUGGUAAGUUGGUAGUGAAAUUCCGGGGCUCAACUCCGGCGCUACUGCCAAGACUGCUGAGCUUGAGUACAGGAGAGGCAAGCGGAAUUCCUAGUGUAGCGGUGGAAUGCUUAGAUAUUAGGAAGAACACCAGAGGCGAAAGCGGCUUGCUGGCCUGCAACUGACACUGAGGCACGAAAGCGUGGGGAGCAAAC
rnacentral:rRNA from 1 species